rnacentral:rRNA from 1 species
UACAGAGGUCUCAAGCGUUGUUCGGAAUCACUGGGCGUAAAGGGUGCGUAGGUGGCGUGGUAAGUCAGAUGUGAAAGCCCGGGGCUCAACCUCGGAAUUGCAUCCGAUACUGCCAUGCUGGAGUACUGAAGAGGUGACUAGAAUUCUCGGUGUAGCAGUGAAAUGCGUAGAUAUCGAGAGGAAUACCAACGGCGAAGGCAGGUCACUGGGCAGUUACUGACACUGAGGCACGAAGGCCAGGGGAGCAAACGGG